AUUACGUGUAGUGCCACGAGGCAUAAUCGUAAAGAUUAAGAACGAUAAUAUCAAAUUAGGAUUGGAUAAUAAGGACUUAGACCGAAGCGGGUCUAUUGGAAUUAUCGUAGAAUAAUAAUUUAAAUGAAAAAUUAUUAUGCGAAAAUUGGAUUUAAUCAAGACAAAAAGGGAAUAAAAUAAAAUAAUUUGAAAAGCCAGAGUUAAUAAUAUUCACGUCAAGGUCCGUGAAAUAUUAUUAAUAAAUGAUCGUCAAGUUUCGUAAGUAUACAAAAUCGUUUUAGAAGAAAGUUUGACGAUUAGUUAAGAAUAAGGGUUAAAGUGCAAAUUAGCCACUUUAAGGACUAAAGUGGACUUUUAACCACAAACUUCCGGAGGAAGUUGUGUUUUACUCUAUUUUCUCAAGAUAAGAAAAUAAUAUCGGUAAAGUUGUUAUUGAUAGUCAUUAAAAUGAAAAUUGGACGAAAAAGUGAGAAAAAGUGCAAGUUAGCUCAAAAUGGAAAUUUGAGCGUUUUUGGCCAAAAUUGCCAAAAUAAAUUGUUGGAGGGUGAUAUUAUAAGGUAUGAUACUAUUGUUAUUUAUUUGGGAAAUAAAUAAUACGGAAUUUAUCGAGAUUGAAUGAUUAAGUGAUUGAUGGACUAAAUCGGACAAAAUAAAAGUUAGAAAGUGAAGUAAAAGGAGGUGACAACUUCAAGGACUAAAAGAGACUCUUUCCCCACUUAUUAUCAUCAAUUAAGAAUGAAUAUUCAUUCAUUCAAAACAGAAAUUGCAGCCAAGAUCCGUAACUCUCCUUCUCCAUUUCUCUCCAAAUUUCACAUGUCCAUAACUUUCUCGUUUCUCAACGAAAUUGAGCGAUUCUUGCGGCCACGGAACGAGAAAACGAUUAUCUACAGAUAUGUGGCAUCAAUUUGAGUGAGUUUAUAAGCUUAAAUUGGAUGCAAAAUGAUGAUGGAGAUAAGGUUUUCAAGGUGAAAUUGAGCUUUAAUGGAGGAUUGUUCAUGAUGAAUUGAAGCUUGGAAACUUCGGCCAUGGAGUAUCUUUAAGAUCGGACGAGCGACUAUCGAAAAGGUUUGAGGCAAACGGAUCGAGAUAUCGUCAUAAUUAUUUGAAGAAUUUGGAUAGCAAGUGGGAUAGCAUGAUAUUAUUUGGAAAGUCAAGCUUCCGAAGUUUUAAUUCUCGGAAGUCAUUUGCACAAGAAGUGAAAGAAGGUUUUCAUUCUAGCAGUCCGCAGUAGUCUAGAUGUUUUUGUCUAUGUAUUUGACUAGCGCAUUUUAACUCUGAUAUUUUUGUAAAAUGGGGUCACAUGUAUUUUGAUAAAUGAAAAAAAUGAUUUGAUUUGCGAAAAAUUUACACAGGUUUUUAGGCUUGCUACGGGUUUCGGAGCUACCACUCCCAUUCCCUAGCGCCGGUUGCGGCUCGAGAAAUCGGGUCGUGACAAAGGUGGUAUCAGAGCAAUGGUUUAGAAUUCCUAGGCCAUUGUUCUUUUAUGAUUGAAGUAUAGGAAAGUGUCGAUCAAUAUAUAGGAACUACUGCGGAUUAUAGGGAUUUCCAGUCAUGUCUUUUGAACGUUAUCAAUGUUUUCAUCGAUUUUUCAAACGUUUUACAAAGACGUCCCCUCCUAUAUGUGCUAUUAGGAGUCGAGUUAGAUGUGUGCGCGAGCACAAUAUAUGUUUGUGUUUACUCGAGUAAGCAAUACGCUUUCGAGUAUCUAUAGUCUGCGAAGAGUUAUAUACUCUCGAGACUCAUAUGAUAAAAGAAUAUCGUUAUGGACUAUGAUUGAAUUAAUUGAUUUAAUAGUAUAUGAUUGAUGAGAUAUGCGAUGCGUUACUAGACACGAUCACUCAGGAGAGUGAUAUGCUCACAGGUAUGUAAGCCUGUGAUAAUUUAUACGAUACAUAAAAUUUAUAUAUUGUAAUCGAUUGUUAUGAAUAGAAAUAGUUUCUUAUGGUUCAAUGAUGAAAGUUUGCUAAGCCUAUGCUGGGCGAAAUGCUCUCAAGACUUAAGAAAGGCGACAUAGUCGGAUUUAUAGGAAAGAUAGAUAAGGGAAGGCAGCCAAAAGGGCUAGCACUAUUAGUUUGUCAUCGGAACAAGGAAGUUCAAACUAUGCAAGUUUCAUACACUCGUUAUGCGAUAGGAGAUGCUCGACUAGCUGUCAAGCUAGGACAUACAUAUGUCUUCGAUGUGGACAACAAGGUUACCACGUGAAGGAAUGCCCACAUCCCGAGUAGUUUGAUACCACGGGAAACACGAAACAAUCUUUUUCCUAAAAGACGGAGUUUGUCGCGACGACUUCUAGUUAGACACAACCAGAUAUACGAUGUAAUCGAGACAAACAUCAUGAAGUCCAAACACUAGAAGCUCGAAAGUGAUCAGACCUUUUGAGCUAGCCUAGUGUAAACGCGAACGUUUAGGACGUGUCUUUUGAAUGACGUCAGAAUCAGAUGAAUAGAGUUACAUCUUUACAUGUGUAAAGAAUGUAAAUAGUUGCGAACGAUAGAAAGAUAGUUAAUAGAUAGUGCAGAGUCGUAUGUCGAGAGAAACUUACGUAAACCCCAUUUUAUGAAAGGAAAGGUAUUUGAUCGAAAUAAAAUGUUUUGAAAAGACAUAAUUGUGCCCGGACACGAUUCAUAACAACAUCGCAUUGACACGAAUAGAAUUACAUCACUACAUCCAUAUUGCAUUCACUAAUAGGACAUGCAUCAUAUACAUUGUGUGUCUGAAAAGAAAAGAGGAGUGUCAUUGCAACUCUUGUGAUGAGAGAAGUCAUCACACCGGCGCACAAUUAUGACAUGAUUUGAGAAAUGAAAGGUAUCAUGGUUUUAAGCGGAUAAGUUUUUAAACGUAAGUAAGCUCAGACAGGGACUCUGUAUAUAGAGGCAUAGGACAAGACUGAUCAUCUUGUUAGGCCUAUAUGAAAACAUACGUAUGUAACACGACAAGUAUAUAGAACGACGAGUAGUGUAAUGCGAAUCGCAACGUAUUGAGAUUUGAAUUGCAAAUCUCUAAGGUGGUCUUGUAUAUUAAAUACAAGAACAACGACGCUACUUUACAAACAUGUAAAGUGACAGCGGACGUGUUUAAAUUCGAAGCACGUUUACCUCUAGGACGAGGAAAUCGAACAUAGAAGUUAGUUACGUUAGGGGAUAUGAACCCUACGAACAAACAUACGUUGUUCAAAAAGGUCGAAUAAAGAGAAUUGAUUCAUAAUAAUUAUGAAUCAAGUAGUAAUAAGAUGGUUAUGAUGGUUAGCAUAAGAAGUUACUCGAUAAGUAUAUCGAGACACUUUCACCUAAAAACAGUAUUAGAUGAAUGAUUGUGUAAACCUAACUAUAAAGUUAACAGUUGGUGAAUAAUUAAUCAGAGUACCGCAGCGGAAGUAUGGAAGGAAGUGAAUGAUAAAGUUUGAUUAAGUGAUAUUAGAAGAUUAUGAAAAUUCGAGGACGAAUUUUUAUAAGGAGGGAAGAUUGUAAUAACCUAAAUUUUUGAGGUAUUACGUGUAGUUCCACGAGGCAUAAUCGUAAAGAUUAAGAACGAUAAUAUCAAAUUAGGAUUGGAUAAUAAGGACUUAGACCGAAGCGGGUCUAUUGGAAUUAUCGUAGAAUAAUAAUUUAAAUGAAAAAUUAUUAUGCGAAAAUUGGAUUUAAUCAAGACAAAAAGGGAAUAAAAUAAAAUAAUUUGAAAAGCCAGAGUUAAUAAUAUUCACGUCAAGGUCCGUGAAAUAUUAUUAAUAAAUGAUCGUCAAGUUUCGUAAGUAUACAAAAUCGUUUUAGAAGAAAGUUUGACGAUUAGUUAAGAAUAAGGGUUAAAGUGCAAAUUAGCCACUUUAAGGACUAAAGUGGACUUUUAACCACAAACUUCCGGAGGAAGUUGUGUUUUACUCUAUUUUCUCAAGAUAAGAAAAUAAUAUCGGUAAAGUUGUUAUUGAUAGUCAUUAAAAUGAAAAUUGGACGAAAAAGUGAGAAAAAGUGCAAGUUAGCUCAAAAUGGAAAUUUGAGCGUUUUUGGCCAAAAUUGCCAAAAUAAAUUGUUGGAGGGUGAUAUUAUAAGGUAUGAUACUAUUGUUAUUUAUUUGGGAAAUAAAUAAUACGGAAUUUAUCGAGAUUGAAUGAUUAAGUGAUUGAUGGACUAAAUCGGACAAAAUAAAAGUUAGAAAGUGAAGUAAAAGGAGGUGGCAACUUCAAGGACUAAAAGAGACUCUUUCCCCACUUAUUAUCAUCAAUUAAGAAUGAAUAUUCAUUCAUUCAAAACAGAAAUUGCAGCCAAGAUCCGUAACUCUCCUUCUCCAUUUCUCUCCAAAUUUCACAUGUCCAUAACUUUCUCGUUUCUCAACGAAAUUGAGCGAUUCUUGCGGCCACGGAACGAGAAAACGAUUAUCUACAGAUAUGUGGCAUCAAUUUGAGUGAGUUUAUAAGCUUAAAUUGGAUGCAAAAUGAUGAUGGAGAUAAGGUUUUCAAGGUGAAAUUGAGCUUUAAUGGAGGAUUGUUCAUGAUGAAUUGAAGCUUGGAAACUUCGGCCAUGGAGUAUCUUUAAGAUCGGACGAGCGACUAUCGAAAAGGUUUGAGGCAAACGGAUCGAGAUAUCGUCAUAAUUAUUUGAAGAAUUUGGAUAGCAAGUGGGAUAGCAUGAUAUUAUUUGGAAAGUCAAGCUUCCGAAGUUUUAAUUCUCGGAAGUCAUUUGCACAAGAAGUGAAAGAAGGUUUUCAUUCUAGCAGUCCGCAGUAGUCUAGAUGUUUUUGUCUAUGUAUUUGACUAGCGCAUUUUAACUCUGAUAUUUUUGUAAAAUGGGGUCACAUGUAUUUUGAUAAAUGAAAAAAAUGAUUUGAUU